AGGAAACUGCCUCUGGCACCACCAAGUUGGAGGCAAAACAACAGAAAAUGUACAAUGGUGAACCGCUGUGGUCUGCUAACUGCUCAGAGGGAGCCAGUUCCUCUGAAGAGUGUGGAGGUGGAGCUGGAGGUGAGGGACCAUGUGGCUACAGUGGUCUCUACUCUGAACUAUGAGAACAAGGAGGACAAACCAAUAGAGGCUGUUUUUGUCUUCCCUCUGCCUGGAGACGCUGCUGUCUGUCAUUUCAGUGCUACGGUUGGACAGACACAGAUUGUAGCUGAGGUGAAGGAGAAACAGAA